GGUAUCCUGUGUUGCUUACCCACGAAAAGGAAUUCGAUGGUUUUGCUGUCCCCAUCCGCCUUGUGCCUUUCGGGGUGCGGGGCGGACGCGAGGCGGGCUCCGUGUUCCCGGCGUGUCUGGCGCUUUGUCGCUUGGCCGCUGCGGCCCAUGGGGUCUCGGCCUGUGCUCUCGGAUGCGGAAUGCUACGUGUGGGCGUGAGGUCUCGGCCUCUGCUCGUCCAAGCUACACGCAUUGUCCCUUGACACGAACGACCGCAGCGCCCGUCUUGAUCGCCUGACCGGGCCCCCGUCGCGGGGAUUCGGGAGGGCGGCUCAUGCGGGCGUCGGCGUCGGAGAGGAAUGC
rnacentral:misc_RNA from 1 species